GGGAAGGGGGGAAAAUUAUCUGAACACCAUGUCAUCAUAAAAGAUUGCUGUGGCAGCCUCAGGGGCCCAGAUAGAGGCAGGGAUGUCACUGUGGAAGUAAAUGAGCAGAGAAGUGGUUCUGAGAAAGAGCUUAACGAGAUGGGGCAAUAAGGGAAUUGGAACCAGGAACUGUGGAGAAGGUUCACCUAGCCAGAAAGGGGAAAGAUAAAGUCAAAGAUGAGAACAAGAAGGAAAUCAUGAUUUAAGGUGUUGAACCAUCAUGAAAUCACAAACACAGACAAAACAAUGGAAGGAAAGAUCAUGCACUACCCAAGAGCCUCAAUAUGCAUCUAUCUAUCGAAGACAGGCCCAAGGGACUCAGAACGAAAAGUUAACAUCACUUGUUCAUUUUUGUCCGCCACUAAUAAAGAGAAAUAUCUAC
rnacentral:lncRNA from 1 species